rnacentral:rRNA from 1 species
UACGGAGGGUGCAAGCGUUAUCCGGAUUCACUGGGUUUAAAGGGUGCGUAGGCGGGUAGGUAAGUCCGUGGUGAAAUCUCUGAGCUUAACUCAGAAACUGCCGUGGAUACUAUUUGCCUUGAAUAUUGUGGAGGUGAGCGGAAUAUGUCAUGUAGCGGUGAAAUGCUUAGAUAUGACAUAGAACACCCAUUGCGAAGGCAGCUAACUACGCGAUUAUUGACGCUGAUGCACGAAAGCGUGGGGAUCAAACAGG